GGACCCCUCUAUCCGCUCCUCAGUGCUCCCAUGAACUCCUUCUCUUCCCAGCUGUGGCCACUGCAAGCAGAAGGAGCCAUGCUCUGCAGACACAGGCAGCUGUGAGUCCUGUGAGCCAGGCUGGAACGGAACCCAGUGCCACCAGCCCUGCCCAGCUGGCACCUUUGGCGAGAGCUGCAGGCAGCUGUGCCCCCACUGCCGGCUUGGGGAGGCCUGUCAGCCAGACACUGGGCACUGUCAGCGCUGUGACCCUGGGUGGCUGGGGCCUAGGUGUGAAGACCCCUGCCCACCCGGCACCUUUGGGAAGGGCUGUGGCUCCGCCUGCCCCACCUGUGUUCAGGGGACCUGCGACGCUGUGACUGGGGAGUGUGUCUGCAACGCUGGCUACUGGGGACCCAGCUGCAACACUUCAUGCCCAUCUGGCUUCCAUGGCAACAACUGCUCUGUUCCCUGUGAAUGCCCAGAGGGACCCUGCAACCCUGUCUCUGGGGCCUGCCAGUUGGGGCCUCACAGUCAGGACGCAGCCCUCAUCGCCGGCGUCCUCGUGCCUCUGCUGCUGCUCUUCCUGGGUAUCAUCCUCUGUGCCUGCUGCUGCUGGGCCGCCCGGUCGGACCCCAAGGACAGGUGAACUCUGGCCUGCCCCUUCCCACCCCCAGCUCAGGCCAGGGGCUUGGGAGCAGGCUGGCAUCUGGUUUCCUUUCAGGGGUGGGGAAGGGCUGGCCUUGUCACACACUUAAAUCAGAGGUAAUGAGGCAGUUGGCAGUGGCCAUGGCCCGGAGACACCAGGUCAGCUGCCUGCCUUCCUUGGAAGCCUUCCGUAGGCGAGUUUCCAAUUGCAGGAGUGUGAGCAGUCGGCACCGGGCACCGGGCUGGGGAAACUCAAACCUGCAGCGCGUGGCUGAGGCUUUAUUAACAGGGACCAGAGGAGGAAGGCAGGGAAGGCAGAAGCAGCCGGGCAAUGCUGGGCAAGGGGGGCAAGAGACGAGGCCUCGAUGCGUCCGCACUUCCCGAAAGGAGAGUGACAUAAUAUCUGAGCAGUGGCCUAUCAGAGACGGCGGCUUUCUGAGAAAAGAAGAUCAGGGAAGGGUUAGGGCGGCUUGCUGGGGGGUGGGGGCUGCGCCCCGCAGGGGAACGUUGUCUGCACAGAGCUUUCCUCCUUUACAAAAUCUCUUCACAUGUCUUGGUUCCUUGGGGACUCGCUGCAGCAAGAGUUUCAGAGCAGGGAAUAUGGGGCAGGAGGGUCAGCAUUCUCAGUUCACAGAGGAGGACGCAGAGGCCUCAGGUGACCCAGCCUGUCACUGGCACGCACAAAGUCCAUGCUCUGUUUUUCUGGAUUCUCUGUCUGGUGCUCUCUUACUAGUUCAUGCACUAAUCCCUGACAUCCCCGUCUGUGCUGUGGGGUAUUCGCCCAUGACAGACCCAGUAGCCCCUCCCUGGGGCACAGAGCCUGGGGGUGGGGAAGAAGGCCUUCACUCGAGGAUGGAAACGGACAAAGGCUGUCAGAGGAAUGGUAACAGUGAAGCCCUGGCUUCCAGCUUGGGUGUGGGGUCAAGGGCGGGCUUCCUGGAGGCAGUGGCACUUCCAGAAAUGUAG
ensembl:lncRNA